rnacentral:rRNA from 1 species
AACGUAGGUGGCGAGCGUUAUCCGGAUUUACUGGGCGUAAAGCGUGUGCAGGCGGGGGGGCAAGUGGGGUAUGAAAGCACUGCGCUCAACGCAGUGACCGUAGGCCAGACUGACUAUCUGGAGGGCGAGAGAGGGGCGUGGAAUUCCGGGUGUAGUGGUGAAAUGCGUAGAGAUCCGGAGGAACCCCAGAGGCGAAGGCGGCGCCCUGGCUCGCACCUGACGCUCAGACACGACAGCAUGGGGAGCGAACGGG